rnacentral:rRNA from 1 species
CACAUGACUCUCGGGAACGGAUAUCUCGGCUCUCGCAUCGAUGAAGAACGUAGCGAAAUGCGAUACCUGGUGUGAAUUGCAGAAUCCCGCGAACCAUCGAGUCUUUGAACGCAAGUUGCGCCCGAGGCCACUCGGCCGAGGGCACGCCUGCCUGGGCGUCACGC